rnacentral:lncRNA from 1 species
GGGAACCUGAGUCCUGCCAUGAUCUCUUACUUCCCUAGAGUCCAGGGUACUUCACAGGAAGCCUGAGGCUGUUAAUUUUUCUCCACCAAGGCCUACUUGUCUGGUGGCCUCUGUCUCCAAACAAAAGCCAGAGUGAAGAUGUAAGAAUGAAAAACGGGCAGCCAGAAUUGUUCUGCCUGGUGUUCCAGGAGCACAGUCAGCAGGGAGAACCCUCAGACCUCCCUCCCCUCGUUCUCUAUUUACUCAUAGUUUGCAUUGAGUCAAGUGUGUAUGUGCCCACGUCAUUGCCUGGACCAGGGAGAACCCAGUGCCCUUAUCCCUGGGGAGGCACCAUUGAUGGACCCGGUGAACACAAACCCUUCCCUCCUUAAGGCCUCAGUUUCUAAGCCAAGAACCCACUGAAGCAGCAAGAAUUUGAAACUUCCAUCCAUCUAGAGCCAAUCUGGGACAGCAGCUUCAUACCUCUGCGGCAGAGGUAAGCAUCCCACUGGCUCUAUAUAGAAACGUAUUCAUGAAGAUGGUACUGAGUUUGCAGAGAGGUAAAAAUCUUAGCUGCUUGUAAACUUGGCCACCCUGGGCAAUGCAUGGCUGAGGGCUCACAGGUGCUGAAGUUGUGCAGUACCGAAGCAACUACUCUGCCCAGGCUUCUGAAGGAGUCAGAAAUCACAGAGGACUGAGUAAAAGAAGAUGAAAUGUUAACGAAUGGAUUAGUGCUACUUCCAAAUGGUCUGACUUGGGAUUAUGUGGCCGUAUGUGCACAUCAGCUUGUACUUUCAAUCUGGACCACGUAUUGAGCCAACUUCUGCUUCUUCUGCACACUUGAAUAUAAGAUUCCAAGUUACAUUUUCUGUCUAGUGAUUUUUUUUUUCUUAAAAACAGAAUAUUGUGAGAUUCACUGGAAUUACAUUAACAUAUUCUCAUAGAUGUUUACGGAUUUGUUCUGAUUUAUGUUAAUAUAUUCAGUCAUAUUUCAAAAUCAGAUUUAAAAUAAAAGAUUUCCAUGCAAUUAUAUUGCUUCUUAAAAAGAAUAUAUUGUGCAUAAGUAAAAUUCAUACUUUUUAUGAUCAGUCCUACCACGUGGUCAGAAGACUGUAAAUAUGAACUGGCAAAGUUUUGAAGAUGUCUUCUAUAUUCAUUGUGACUAGAGCAGAAUUCAUAGUUUCUUCUGAAGAUUGGACUAUUUUGUGGGGUUUUAACUGAGCCAGUGAGAGGACUCUUAACUGUUUUGAAUAUUGUGGUUUGAGAUUAAACAGAACAUUUUAAAACUACUAAACUACUUAUCAUUUUUUUAAUGUGCAAUAAGUGCCUUCCCUUUCAUUUAGCUUGUACACAGGGCAAAUAAUUAGAAAAGUAAUUAUUGGUUUUGACUGCUUAGCACAUUGUAAAUUAUCAAAUGCAUAUAUUAAUAGGCAGCAAAAAUCAGAAAGUAUGCUUUUAACUCCACCAUAAAUAAUAUCUUGGACCUAGUAGAUUCAAGUUCAA